rnacentral:tRNA from 1 species
GUGGGCGUAGCUCAGCGGCGGAGCACCAGACUGUGGCUCUGGGGGCCGUGGGUUCGAAUCCCACCGUCCACCCCA